rnacentral:rRNA from 1 species
CGUCUCAGUUCAGAUUGCAGGCUGCAACUCGCCUGCAUGAAGUCGGAAUUGCUAGUAAUCGCAGAUCAGCAUGCUGUGGUGAAUACGUUCCCGGGCCUUGUACACACCGCCCGUCACACCAUGGGAGUCGGUAACACCCGAAGUCGGUAGCCUAACCGUAAGGAGGGCGCCGCCGAAGGUGGGAUUGAUGACUGGGGUGAAGUCGUAACAAGGUAAC